UCCGGAUUCAUUGGGUUUAAAGGGUCCGUAGGCGGAUUUUUAAGUCAGUGGUGAAAGCCGGCAGCUCAACUGUCGAACUGCCAUUGAUACUGGAAAUCUUGAGUACAAAUGAAGUAGGCGGAAUGAGUCAUGUAGCGGUGAAAUGCAUAGAUAUGACUCAGAACACCGAUUGCGAAGGCAGCUUACUAACAUGUAACUGACGCUGAGGGACGAAAGCGUGGGGAGCGAACAGGAUUAGAUACCCUGGUAGUCCACGCCGUAAACGAUCAUCACUCGCUGUUGGCGAUAUACUGUCAGCGGCCAAGCGAAAGUAUUAAGUGAUGCACCUGGGGAGUACGCCGGCAACGGUGAAACUCAAAGGAAUUGACGGGGGCCCGCACAAGCGGUGGAGCAUGUGGUUUAAUU
rnacentral:rRNA from 1 species